UUAAUGAGCUUGAAAAGCAUUUGUUUUGAAAACAAAAGAUAGAAUUUAAAUCUUCUAUU
rnacentral:tRNA from 1 species